rnacentral:lncRNA from 1 species
UGCACAAUUGGGGUUAAAACGAGGGUCAAUCCACCCCACUCUCCAAACGCCUCUCCUCUUGCUGCCAAACCCAGGAUCCGAGGCUGAGUGCGGUUUGUAAGAUUAUAGCGCUCGGUCUCAUUUAAAGGGCUGUCAGCAUUUCCAUUCUCCGGCCCGUUUGGGGAGGCAUUUAUAACCAAGCCAUAAAAAAUUCACCCCGGCUGCAACUUGGCAUCUGGGAGGCUGCGCUCCAGGCAGGGCGGGUUUUGCAAGCACCCACUCUCAAUUCGCUUGGUUCCUCAGAAGUUAGACCUUUAUACACAUUCUCAACUUCGCUUCUAAGGGCAGCCGGAAAGUGACUGGCCCUUUCUGAUCUUCAGGCAGGUCGGAGUCUCGGCCCUCUCCCGUCUCCGUGCCCUUACGACCCAUCACCUUUCGGGCUUUCUCCUUCGCCCACCUCCUAAACGUGCGCGGAUCCCUUGCCCUCGUCCUAAGACCUCACUGGCUGCAGUGUUCUUUCCUCCCCUCGCUUCCUGCCAGCGUUCUGCUGGAAGCUGUCACCCGGCCCUGCGUCUGGAACCUUCACCCCUGGAGAAGCACUGCUCUUUGCCCAUCGCAGUGGGCUUCAAGACCUCUCUCCCUAGACCUGACCAAGGCCACAGACCCCAACUCAGGGGAUAAAGGAUCCGACCCGGGAGAGGUGACAAGAGACUGCAUCCAGUGUGGCCAAGGGGAGAGGAAAGAUCUGGUGCCUGGGGGCCCCACUAUGGACCCAGUGUCGCAAUGGAAGUAUGCAAGAGAGAGAGAAGCAUGAGAAGGAUUUGACUUACUGUUGCUGGCUUUGAAGAUGGAGGAAGGUGCCACAGGCCAAGGAAUGCAGAUCAUCUCUAGAAACCGGAAAAGACAAGGAAACAGAUUCUCCCCUAGAACUUCCAAAAGGUAUUGUAUCUCUGCCGACACUUUGAUUUUAGCCUAG